AGGCAGCAGUGGGGAAUAUUGCACAAUGGGGGGAACCCUGAUGCAGCGACGCCGCGUGAGUGAAGAAGUAUUUCGGUAUGUAAAGCUCUAUCAGCAGGGAAGAAAAUGACGGUACCUGACUAAGAAGCCCCGGCUAACUACGUGCC
rnacentral:rRNA from 1 species